ACAUGCAAGUCGUACGCUUCUUUUUCCACCGGAGCUUGCUCCACCGGAAAAAGAAGAGUGGCGAACGGGUGAGUAACACGUGGGUAACCUGCCCAUCAGAAGGGGAUAACACUUGGAAACAGGUGCUAAUACCGUAUAACAAUCGAAACCGCAUGGUUUUGAUUUGAAAGGCGCUUUCGGGUGUCGCUGAUGGAUGGACCCGCGGUGCAUUAGCUAGUUGGUGAGGUAACGGCUCACCAAGGCCACGAUGCAUAGCCGACCUGAGAGGGUGAUCGGCCACAUUGGGACUGAGACACGGCCCAAACUCCUACGGGAGGCAGCAGUAGGGAAUCUUCGGCAAUGGACGAAAGUCUGACCGAGCAACGCCGCGUGAGUGAAGAAGGUUUUCGGAUCGUAAAACUCUGUUGUUAGAGAAGAACAAGGAUGAGAGUAACUGUUCAUCCCUUGACGGUAUCUAACCAGAAAGCCACGGCUAACUACGUGCCAGCAGCCGCGGUAAUACGUAGGUGGCAAGCGUUGUCCGGAUUUAUUGGGCGUAAAGCGAGCGCAGGCGGUUUCUUAAGUCUGAUGUGAAAGCCCCCGGCUCAACCGGGGAGGGUCAUUGGAAACUGGGAGACUUGAGUGCAGAAGAGGAGAGUGGAAUUCCAUGUGUAGCGGUGAAAUGCGUAGAUAUAUGGAGGAACACCAGUGGCGAAGGCGGCUCUCUGGUCUGUAACUGACGCUGAGGCUCGAAAGCGUGGGGAGCAAACAGGAUUAGAUACCCUGGUAGUCCACGCCGUAAACGAUGAGUGCUAAGUGUUGGAGGGUUUCCGCCCUUCAGUGCUGCAGCUAACGCAUUAAGCACUCCGCCUGGGGAGUACGACCGCAAGGUUGAAACUCAAAGGAAUUGACGGGGGCCCGCACAAGCGGUGGAGCAUGUGGUUUAAUUCGAAGCAACGCGAAGAACCUUACCAGGUCUUGACAUCCUUUGACCACUCUAGAAAUAAGAGCUUCCCCUUCGGGGGCAAAGUGACAGGUGGUGCAUGGUUGUCGUCAGCUCGUGUCGUGAGAUGUUGGGUUAAGUCCCGCAACGAGCGCAACCCUUAUUGUUAGUUGCCAUCAUUCAGUUGGGCA
rnacentral:rRNA from 1 species